rnacentral:ncRNA from 1 species
AGAAAAACAGUGAUCAGGAGUAGUAAUGGUCAACACCCGAACCUUAAGAGAGUUGACGGCUGGUGGAAGUCAACCGGGUACAUCAUGAACUCGCCUUUGAGUUGCAAGCAUGAAGGAACAGUAAUGUUUGCCGUAUUCCGCGUUAAGGAUGAAUGAAGCGAGUGCAUGCAUGCACUAAUGUGGGUGGUACCGCGGGAAGAUACAUACAAUCCUCUCGUCCCUUUU